GACGAACGCUGGCGGCGUGCCUAAUACAUGCAAGUAGGACGCAGUUGCGAACGGUUGAGUAACGCGUAGGUAACUACCUAUUAGAGGGGGAUAACUACUGGAAACGAUAGCUCAUAACGCAUACUAGUAGAUGGACCUGCGGUGUAUUAGGUAGUAGGUAGGGGAAUGGCCUACCUAGGCAACGAUACAUAGCCGACCUGGGAGGGUGAUCGGCCACACUGGGACUGAGACACUGCCCAGACUUCUUCCGGAGGCAGCAGUAGGGAAACUUCGGAAAUGGGGGGAACCCUUGCCGAGCAACGCCGCGUGAGUGAAGAAGGUUUUCGGAUCGUAAAGCUCUGUUGUUAAGGAAGCGGUACUUAACCAGAAAGGGACGGCUAACUACGUGCCAGCAGCCGCGGUAAUUC
rnacentral:rRNA from 1 species